UAGUGAAGACAUGGCAAAUUGCCAUUCUCAGUUUCAAUUUCAAUUGUGGAAGAUAUAAAUGUAGCUAACACCAAAGUCACGUAGCGUGUUUUUAUAUGUGUUAUAUAAAUAGCAUUCAUCUGUGUAAUAGAUAAAUAGAUCACUCAUACUAAUACAAUAAUACAAUUUCUUUUCUUUGUUUCUUUUGUCUCAAUAGACAAAUUUUCUAAAUCUGAAAUAAUCUCCACAUGAUAAUGGAGUACAGAAAAUUCAAAAAAAUUCUCCGAUUCUUGACAAAUCCAGCGAGUCAAAUUUCGUCACAUGGUAGCAGCAUGAGCGUUUUUGCA